AAACAAUCCAAUGUCAAAAAUGAUCACUAUUGCACGAUGAGACUACAAACCUAGGUUUUCAGCAAUUUCUACACAUGAUGUUCUAACUCUGGCCAUGGCAGAAUUUAGCUGGCUGAUUCUUUGAAUCUGGCUAGGGUGGAUUCUUACAAGGACAAAGAGGAUUUGCUCAGUAACCGGCAAGAGAGAGUCUUGCCAACCCCACUUCUUGAUAUUCAACCAACUGGCAAGCUAUGGACACAGGAUAAGGAUG
rnacentral:lncRNA from 1 species